rnacentral:rRNA from 1 species
UACAGAGGGUGCAAGCGUUAAUCGGAAUUACUGGGCGUAAAGGGUGUGUAGGUGGUUUGAUAAGUUAGGUGUGAAAGUCCAGGGCUUAACCUUGGGAUUGCGCCUAAUACUGGCGAGCUAGAGUACUGUAGAGGAAGGUGGAAUUUCCGGUGUAGCGGUGAAAUGCGUAGAUAUCGGAAGGAACAUCAGUGGCGAAGGCGACUUUCUGGACAGCUACUGACACUGAGGCACGAAAGCGUGGGGAGCAAACAGG